AUGCUCGUUUUGGCAGCACAUAUACUAAAACUGGAAGGAUAGAGAGAAGAUUAGCAUGGCCCCUGCACAAGGAUGACAUAUAAAUAUCUGUGAAUAUAUAUAAGUAU